ensembl:snRNA U6 U6 spliceosomal RNA
GUGCUUACUUUGGCAGCACAUACAGUAAAAUUGGAACAAUACAAAGAUUAGCAUAACCACUGUGCAAGGAUGACACACACAUUCAUGAAGUGUUCAUAUUUUAA